rnacentral:rRNA from 1 species
CCUACGGGCGGCAGCAGUGAGGAAUAUUGGUCAAUGGUCGGGAGACUGAACCAGCCAAGCCGCGUGAGGGAGGAAGGUACAGAGUAUCGUAAACCUCUUUUGUCAGGGAACAAAGACUGGGACGCGUCCCCGGAUGAGUGUACCUGAAGAAAAAGCAUCGGCUAAUUCCGUGCCAGCAGCCGCGGUAAUACGGAGGAUGCGAGCGUUAUCCGGAUUUAUUGGGUUUAAAGGGUGCGCAGGCGGUCUGUUAAGUCAGCGGGCAAAGCCCGGGGCUCAACCCCGGCCCGCCGUUGAAACUGGCAGUCUCGAGUUGGAGAGAAGUAUGCGGAAUGCGCGGUGUAGCGGUGAAAUGCAUAGAUAUCGCGCAGAACUCCGAUUGCGAAGGCAGCAUGCCGGCUCCACACUGACGCUGAGGCACGAAAGCGUGGGUAUCGAACAGGAUUAGAUACCCCUGUAGUC